rnacentral:rRNA from 1 species
UGGAUCCAGACUUGAUCAUGGCUCAGGAUGAACGCUAGCUACAGGCUUAACACAUGCAAGUCGAGGGGCAGCAUGAACUUAGCUUGCUAAGUUUGAUGGCGACCGGCGCACGGGUGAGUAACACGUAUCCAACCUUCCGUUUACUCAGGGAUAGCCUUUCGAAAGAAAGAUUAAUACCUGAUAGUAUGGUGAGAUUGCAUGAUAGCACCAUUAAAGAUUUAUUGGUAAACGAUGGGGAUGCGUUCCAUUAGGUAGUAGGCGGGGUAACGGCCCACCUAGCCGACGAUGGAUAGGGGUUCUGAGAGGAAGGUCCCCCACAUUGGAACUGAGACACGGUCCAAACUCCUACGGGAGGCAGCAGUGAGGAAUAUUGGUCAAUGGGCGAGAGCCUGAACCAGCCAAGUAGCGUGAAGGAUGAAGGUCCUACGGAUUGUAAACUUCUUUUAUACGGGAAUAAAGUAUCCUACGUGUAGGAUUUUGUAUGUACCGUAUGAAUAAGCAUCGGCUAACUCCGUGCCAGCAGCCGCGGUAAUACGGAGGAUGCGAGCGUUAUCCGGAUUUAUUGGGUUUAAAGGGAGCGCAGACGGGAGAUUAAGUCAGUUGUGAAAGUUUGCGGCUCAACCGUAAAAUUGCAGUUGAUACUGGUUUCCUUGAGUGCAGUUGAGGCAGGCGGAAUUCGUGGUGUAGCGGUGAAAUGCUUAGAUAUCACGAAGAACCCCGAUUGCGAAGGCAGCUUGCUAAACUGUAACUGACGUUCAUGCUCGAAAGUGUGGGUAUCAAACAGGAUUAGAUACCCUGGUAGUCCACACGGUAAACGAUGGAUACUCGCUGUUGGCGAUAUACUGUCAGCGGCCAAGCGAAAGCAUUAAGUAUCCCACCUGGGGAGUACGCCGGCAACGGUGCAACUCAAAUGAAUUGACGGA